rnacentral:rRNA from 1 species
AGAGUUUGAUCCUGGCUCAGAACGAACGCUGGCGGCGUGGCUAAGGCAUGCAAGUCGUACGGGACCUUUGAAGUAGCAAUACGACGAAGGUUUAGUGGCGGACGGGUGAGUAAUACAUGGGCAACGUUCCCUGCACACAGGGACAGCGGCGCCCCGCAAGGGGCUUUAGCGAAAGUGCCGGUAAUACCUGAUGACAUCCAGAAAUCGCAUGGUUUUUGGGUCAAAGGGUGGGGACCUUCGGGCCUAUCGGUGCAGGACCGGCCCAUGCCCUAUCAGCUAGUUGGUGAGGUAACGGCCCACCAAGGCUUUGACGGGUAGCCGGCGUGAGAGCGCGACCGGCCACAUCGGGACUGAGACACUGCCCGGACACCUACGGGUGGCUGCAGCAACGAAUAAUCCGCAAUGGGCGAAAGCCUGACGGUGCGACGCCGCGUGGAGGAUGAA